AACGAACGCUGGCGGCAGGCCUAACACAUGCAAGUCGAGCGAGGACUUCGGGUGCCGACGAGUGGCGAACGGGUGAGUAAUGUAUCGGAACGUACCUUUCAGUGGGGGAUAACGUAGCGAAAGUUACGCUAAUACCGCAUAUUCUGUGAGCAGGAAAGCAGGGGAUCGCAAGACCUUGCGCUGAUUGAGCGGCCGAUAUCAGAUUAGCUAGUUGGUGAGGUAAAGGCUCACCAAGGCGACGAUCCGUAGCGGGUCUGAGAGGAUGAUCCGCCACACUGGAGCUGAGACACGGUCCAUGCUGCUGCGGUAGGCAGCAUUGAGUAAUUUAGGACAAUGGGGGCAACCCUGAUCCAGCCAUGCCGCGUGAGUGAAGAAGGCCUUCGGGUUGUACAGCUCUGUCGGCCGGGAAGAAAUCGCAUUCUCUAAUAUAGGAGGUGGAUGACGGUACCGGACUAAGAAGCCCCGGCUAACUACGUGCCAGCAGCCGCCGUAAUAC
rnacentral:rRNA from 1 species